CUUCUUUAUAUUCUAUGAGAAUAAUCCCUGUUUGACUUCACAGUAGUUGUGAUAACAAGAACAUCUCGGCUGAGGAUCCGCUGGUUUGCACAGAGUGGCUCAUAGUGCUGUCUCAUGCUUACUGGAACCAACCUAGAACACUGGGAUCCUACAGGCGCUGAAUGAGAACUGGCUCUGCUGCAACACGCCUCUUCACUACACCGCCCAGAGGCUGCUGGAAUAGAACCAGGAGGUACCCGGGUCAGUCCAGGACCACAGUUUCUUUCUAUGGCGUCUGAAGGAGCUCGGGGCAAAAGGACCAAUCUGGUGUCAUCCAAGGUCCAGUGGAGCCAAGUAGACGCUCUUGAGUUCAUUACAGAAAGUAGCAGCCAGGACAGCGUCAGGAAAUGGCUCCUCACCACUGUGACUGAAGCGGAUGCAAAGCGGGUGGUGGUGUGUGGAGCUGCAGAGCCUCUGAAGAGGAACUCCGGCAGUGACGAUGACUUGGCGUUGGGUGUAGAAGCGUCUCUAUAUGGUAACCAGAGGACGAGGACGGUCCAGGAGUUUCUGCG
ensembl:lncRNA